rnacentral:rRNA from 1 species
GACGAACGCUGGCGGCGUGCUUAACACAUGCAAGUCGAACGGGCCUUGUCCCCUUUUUUUUUGGGGGUGGGGUUAGUGGCGAACGGGUGAGUAACACGUGAGUAACCUGCCCCUCACUUCUGGAUAACCGCUUGAAAGGGUGGCUAAUACGGGGUGUUCUGGCCUGCUCGCAUGGGUGGGUUUGGAAAGAUUCGACCGGUUUUGGUUGUUUUGGUGGGGGAUGGGCUUGCGGCCUAUCAGCUUGUUGGUGGGGUGAUGGCCUGCCAAGGCUUUGACGGGUGGCCGGCCUGAGAGGGUGGGCGGUCACACUGGGACUGAGACACGGCCCAGACUCCUACGGGAGGCAGCAGUGGGGAAUAGUGCACAAUGGGCGCAAGCCUGAUGCAGCGACGCCGCGUGAGGGAUGGAGGCCUUCGGGUUGUGAACCUCUUUCGCCAGUGAAGAAGGUCCUGCUCUUUGUGGUGGGGUUGGCGGUAGCUGGGUUAAUGAAGCGCCGGCUAACUACGUG